UACGUAGGGCGCAAGCGUUGUCCGGAAUUAUUGGGCGUAAAGAGCUCGUAGGCGGUCUGUCGCGUCGGAUGUGAAAGCCCGGGGCUUAACCCCGGGUCUGCAUUCGAUACGGGCAGACUAGAGUGUGGUAGGGGAGAUCGGAAUUCCUGGUGUAGCGGUGAAAUGCGCAGAUAUCAGGAGGAACACCGGUGGCGAAGGCGGCUCUCUGGUACGUGACUGACGCUGAGACGCGAAAGCGUGGGGAGCAAAUAGG
rnacentral:rRNA from 1 species